UACAGAGGGGGCAAGCGUUAUUCGGAAUUAUUGGGCGUAAAGGGCGCGUAGGCGGCUUUGCAAGUGGCGGGUGAAAUCCCUCGGCUUAACCGAGGAACUGCCUGCCAGACUGCAAGGCUCGAGACCGGGAGAGGUGAGUGGAAUUCCCAGUGUAGCGGUGAAAUGCAUAGAUAUUGGGAGGAACACCAGUGGCGAAGGCGGCUCACUGGACCGGAACUGACGCUGAGGCGCGAAAGCGUGGGGAGCAAACAGG
rnacentral:rRNA from 1 species